rnacentral:lncRNA from 12 species
GUCUCGUUACACUGCUAGGUUGGCUUGUUUUGUUCACCCUUAUUCCCUGCUUUGCUCCCGCUGACAUUGAAGUUUACAAUCCUAGACUGGAUGUUUGCAUAUACCUUCUUUCAUGGAGAUGCUUAAAUCACCCAAGAUGAUAGCAGAUGUAGGAUGAGUAGACAAAUUAUCCCAUAGAAGAGGGGUUCUAGAGGGCAGGACAGAAAAGUCUGGAAGGGGAGGCAGACUUGGCAGAGAGGUCAGAAGAGUAGAAGCCCUUGGCCCUAUGAGGAUGAAAUGCUAGAGAGGACAGUAAUCAAGGAUGUCUGUGGAGUUGUAAUCAAGGAUAACGGCAAACAGCACUGUGUGCAGCAGACUGUUGUCUCUCUAAGAGCGUAGGUCCUGGGCACCUGAAAGAUGAUGCAAAUAAGAAUAGCCCAUUGUUAAUGAGCACUUACUAUAUGUCAGGCCCUGGUCUAGUGCUUCCCAUGCCUUAUUAUGUGUCUCACAAUAGCUCUGCAAGAUGGUAGGGCUACUAUAGCAUCUUUUUGUAGAUGGAGAAACUGAGGCAGAAAGGAAUUGAGUUACAAUUAGCUGCAGAAUGAGGAUUUUAUCACUGGCCAUGUGACUCUCUAGAGUCUCAGUCCCUGAGCUCUCAACCGCCAAACUGGAGCAGAGGACAUUUGAAAGUGUCCAAAUGAACCAGUGAAGACCUGGGUAAAUCCCAUUUAUGAGUUAUUCCUCUUCUCUGGUGGAUAAUGGGACACCAGUCUCUCUGGAGAGAGGCUAUACUACUCCCUCUGCCCCAUACUAUAUGGAGAUCUGCUGAGACAAACUGGCAUUCUGCUGGUAAACACCACUACCACUGGAUGUGUCCACUCCACUGGACAGUGUUUAUUUUGGGGGUUAGGUGUCUUCUUUUAUUAGUUCAUGUCAACACACAUCAGUCAGUAAGUAUUUUGAGUAUCAACCUCUGGUUUUAUAUAGCUGUUAACCCAUUGAUUAUUUGCAUUUUAUAGAAUGAUUUGAAAUAUCAUACUUACAGCAAUAUAAAUAUUGUAUUGGAAAAUUAUAAUAGUCUUAUAAGGUAGAUGGGGG